AGCGAACGCUGGCGGCAGGCCUAACACAUGCAAGUCGAACGAAGUCUUCGGACUUAGUGGCGGACGGGUGAGUAACACGUGGGAACGUGCCUUUAGGUUCGGAAUAACUCAGGGAAACUUGUGCUAAUACCGAAUGUGCCCUUCGGGGGAAAGAUUUAUCGCCUUUAGAGCGGCCCGCGUCUGAUUAGCUUGUUGGUGAGGUAAUGGCUCACCAAGGCGACGAUCAGUAGCUGGUCUGAGAGGAUGACCAGCCACAUUGGGACUGAGACACGGCCCAAACUCCUACGGGAGGCAGCAGUGGGGAAUCUUGCGCAAUGGGCGAAAGCUUGACGCAGCCAUGCCGCGUGGGUGAUGAAGGCCCUAGGGUUGUAAAGCCCUUUCGGCGGGGAAGAUAAUGACGGUACCCGCAGAAGAAGCCCCGGCUAACUUCGUGCCAGCCGCCGCGGUAAGAC
rnacentral:rRNA from 1 species